GACGAACGCUGACGGUGUGCUUUAGACAUGCAAGUCGAACGAGAAAGCCCUUCGGGUGAGUACAGUGGCGAACGGGUGAGUAACACGUGGGCAACCUGCCCCUCGCAGGGGGACGAACCGGAGGAAACUCCGGCUAAUACCCCGUAAGCUUGUUGGGUCGCAUGACCCUUCAAGGAAAGGUAGCUUCGGCCAUCCGGCGAGGGAUGGGCCCGCGGUACAUUAGCUAGUUGGUGGGGUAACGGCCCACCAAGGCGACGANGUAUAGCUGGUCUGAGAGGAUGAUCAGCCACACUGGGACUGAGACACGGCCCAGACUCCUACGGGAGGCAGCAGUCGGGAAUCUUGCGCAAUGGGCGAAAGCCUGACGCAGCAACACCGUGUGAGCGACGAAGGCCUUCGGGU
rnacentral:rRNA from 1 species